UGUCCAGUUUACAUUGUGGGAUGCUAUCUGGAAAGUUUCCAGUUUGUUUGGUCAACCACAGGGUAUGUGUGUGCCAGAGCAGUGAGAAUGAAUGUGCUGCUGAUCCCCAGAGACACUCUAGCACCAUCUGUGAAGAAAUGUUAUGGAAGAGGCUAAUUUAAGUUCUGCUUUGGUUGGAUGGACAAGAAAAAGUACCUGCCAAUAUUUGUAAAGGUACAGAAGAUCAAAGUCAUAGAGCAGACUUCUGGAAAUUCUUUAGAGGCAAAGAUAUACAUUUUUUGGAUGAAAGAAUGAAGCAAUAGAAGCUUGUAAUGCAGGCCAUGAAAUUUACUGAGAAGUUGUUGUGCCCAGGAGAAUGUUGCUUAUGGCAGGUUUCUUCUGCCUAAAAGUUCGAGUUCAUCGUUUGACCCAUUUUCCUCAAAUAUUUUUUCAGUUCAAGGUGCAUAAAAGCUAAUUGCCAAGAUUGUUUAGAACAUUCUCUUCAUAUGGGUGAUAAACCAAUGUUCAACCAAAGUCUGGAAUGCUCUCUCACAGUGCACACUGGAAUGCUCUUCUGCCUUACCUAGUUGGUUUAAUUUUAUAUUUUUUUAAUGCUGCAAUAAAUAUUUUGGUUUUGUAAGCCAGGAUACCAGAAGAGGUAGGAAAUAUGCAAGAUUCACUCCUGAAGUCACACUCUGAGAUUAUUCAAAUAAUGAUGAACAGCCAUUUACCUUCUUGUCUUGCUGUGAAGUUCAAGGUCAAGAUAUGCUGAUAUUACACUUUCUAGGGAACUUGGAGGACUGGAAAGUCAUGGGCAAUUAAUGACUUUGAGAACAUGAAAGAACUGCAGAUAUUGCUGGAAAUUCUUCCAACAGAAGCUCUUGCAAGGAUACUUAGAGUGACAUGUAGUAUAUCAUUUUUAGUAAAAGAACAUUCCGUCCUGGCUGCCUGAGGAGGCCAUGAGAAAAUGCUGAAGAGAAUCAUGCUGAUGAGACAGAAGCCAACCUCAGAUCUAUAUUCUGCUUCAUUUUCAACCCCAAAACAUUUGAGUGUCAAAUAACAAAUCUAUCCCUAAAUUAGUUUCCAGUGUUCCUAUGGUUACACAAAGUUUGUUAUGGUUUCUCCAGAGGAAAAUUUCAAAGUAAAAUUUUGACUACAGAUUUGCUGCUCUGCAGAAGGUUUCUUGUACUGCUGCCAAGCCUCAAGAAAGUUUGGAGAGACCUUAUGGGAAGUUGGAGAAGAAGGCUUAUGGAGAUUAACAUGAA